rnacentral:rRNA from 1 species
CGAAGGGUGCAAGCGUUACUCGGAAUUACUGGGCGUAAAGCGUGCGUAGGUGGUUUGUUAAGUCUGAUGUGAAAGCCCUGGGCUCAACCUGGGAAUGGCAUUGGAUACUGGCGAGCUAGAGUGCGGUAGAGGGCAGUGGAAUUCCCGGUGUAGCAGUGAAAUGCGUAGAGAUCGGGAGGAACAUCUGUGGCGAAGGCGACUGCCUGGACCAGCACUGACACUGAGGCACGAAAGCGUGGGGAGCAAACAGGAUUAGAUACCCUGGUAGUCCACGCCUUAAACGAUGCGAACUGGAUGUUGGGUGCAAUUAGGCACUCAGUAUCGAAGCUAACGCGUCAAGUUCGCCGCCUGGGGAGUACGGUCGCAAGACUG